rnacentral:rRNA from 1 species
UACAGGGGGUGCAAACGUUGCUCGGAAUCAUUGGGCGUAAAGCGCACGUAGGCGGUUCGUUAUGUCGGAUGUGAAAGCCCUUGGCUUAACCGAGGAAGUGCAUCCGAAACUGGCGAGCUAGAGUACGAAAGAGGAUCGCGGAAUUCCCGGUGUAGAGGUGAAAUUCGUAGAUAUUCGGGGGAACACCAGUGGCGAAGGCGGCUCACUGGUCCAUUACUGACGCUGAGGUGCGAAAGCGUGGGGAGCAAACAGG